UGGUGGCGACCGGCGCACGGGUGAGUAACGCGUAUGCAACCUCCCUAUCAGAGGGGAAUAACCCGGCGAAAGUCGGACUAAUACCGCAUAAAACAGGGACACCGCAUGGUGAUAUUUGUUAAAGAACUUCGCUGAUAGAUGGGCAUGCGUUCCAUUAGGUAGUUGGUGAGGUAACGGCUCACCAAGCCGACGAUGGAUAGGGGAACUGAGAGGUUGGUCCCCACACUGGUACUGAGACACGGACCAGACUCCUACGGGAGGCAGCAGUGAGGAAUAUUGGUCAAUGGGCGAGAGCCUGAACCAGCCAAGUCGCGUGAAGGAAGAAGGAUCUAUGGUUCGUAAACUUCUUUUGCAGGGGAAUAAAGUGCAGGACGUGUCCUGUUUUGUAUGUACCCUGAGAAUAAGGAUCGGCUAACUCCGUGCCAGCAGCCGCGGUAAUACGGAGGAUCCGAGCGUUAUCCGGAUUUAUUGGGUUUAAAGGGUGCGUAGGUGGUUUGAUAAGUCAGCGGUGAAAGUUUGCAGCUUAACUGUAAAAAUGCCGUUGAAACUGUCGGACUUGAGUGUAAAUGAGGUAGGCGGAAUGCGUGGUGUAGCGGUGAAAUGCUUAGAUAUCACGAAGAACUCCGAUUG
rnacentral:rRNA from 1 species